UAGGGAAUAUUGCACAAUGGGCGAAAGCCUGAUGCAGCCAUGCCGCGUGUGUGAAGAAGGCCUUAGGGUUGUAAAGCACUUUCAGUGGCGAAGAAAAAGCCGGUGUUAAUACCGCCGGCCAUUGACGUUAACCACAGAAGAAGCACCGGCCAACUCCGUGCCAGCAGCCGCGGUAAUACGGAGGGUGCGAACGUUAAUCGGAAUUACUGGGCGUAAAGCGCGCGUAGGCGGUUUGCUAAGUGGGAUGUGAAAGCCCCGGGCUCAACCUGGGAACUGCGUUUCAAACUGGCAAACUAGAGUUCAGUAGAGGGAGGUGGAAUUUCCUGUGUAGCGGUGGAAUGCGUAGAUAUAGGAAGGAACACCAGUGGCGAAGGCGGCCUCCUGGACUGAAACUGACGCUCAUGUGCGAAAGCGUGGGGAGCAAACAGG
rnacentral:rRNA from 2 species